UCUCCGUAGGUGAACCAGCGGAGGGAUCAUUACAGAGCUCAGGCCCUUACGGGUAGAUCUCACCAUCCGCGUAACUAUUACCUUUGUUGCUUCGGCGGGCCGCCAGGCCCCGGUCAGGCUAUCGGCGUCGGCUGGUAAGUCCCCGGCAGAAGACCCUAUAUCCUGAUUAGUAGUGUCGACUGAGUACUAUAUAAUAGUUAAAACUUUCAACAACGGAUCUCUUGGUUCUG
rnacentral:misc_RNA from 1 species